GACGCUGACAAUCUGGUAACUUACUGAUAUUUCGAAGACUAUUACGUCAACUAACUGUUCGUAUGUCUUUAUAAAGUUCGGUACCCGGCGCCUCCACCAAAAACCGGCGGACUUUCAUGAAAUGAAGGCCGGCUUUUGAUGGGGGCGAAAUAGGAUCGACAAGGGCGUAAAGAUCGAACUUUUGCUCGGCAUGAUACCGCCGUUAUCGGGUCACAAGUGUAGUUGCAAACGACAACAACGCUAAGGAAUAUGCUCUCGCUGCCUAAUGGCGGUGCGGGAAUUCCGCUCUAAAGUCCUUACGGUUAGCCCCGUAAGGCGGGGUUCGGAGGUACCUGGCAACAGAAACCUCCACC
rnacentral:tmRNA from 1 species